UUUUUUACAUCCAGAAAUAAGUUGCAUGUAUUUGCAAAGUUUGGUUCCCUCUUCCUAUUGAUCCUUGGAUUGAAGACAACUGUGAAGAGUUCUCUACCAGGUCAUUAGAAAGUCAGUUCUCCGUGUCCAGUUUAUCCCAGCAGACCACUAGAUCAAGGGAAAUAAACCGACUGAAUUACUGCCAGUCCGUAAACCAAGGACCUGUCCCUCGGCUAAAUCUAAACCCUCAGGAAAAUACGCACAGCAUUCACACAUUUAAUCUAUCAGCCAGGAGUUCACUAUCUGCAUAUUCUGAUGGGCUUUCCCAGGUGUCUAUAGAAUUAGAAUCAGCAUCUUUGUCACAGAUUUCUUUAGAAGACACAAAUAGUUCUAAUUAUCAUAGUGUAGAGGGACUGGAAGUUACAAAGGUCAAAGAUAUCCAUCAUGCCAAUGACGCGGGUGUAAAAUAUACAAUAAACAAUAUGGAAAACAAUGGUAGAUCAUCCAUAGAUUCUGGGGCAAUGAAUCAGACGGGAUCUACUAAUGACAGUCAUAACGGGGAUUCCAGUCGGGCCUCUCCACUCCGCGGAUUAUCUUCUGAUGAAGGAUCUGGAUGGAAAUCAGAAACAACAGAGAAC